AUCAGUAAAAUGAUUGCUACGCCACCGUUUUCUUCUUCCAACAUUUCUAUCGCUCUCUAAUUGAACACGGCAAAUUCUGGAGCGACGGCAUCGUGUGCAACCUCCUUCCUUAUCUGCAAGUUAGUCGAUAAGUAUAACAAAACUCGUACAAAAACUUCUUGAGAGAUUGUAGCACUCUCCGUGCCUCGUUUACAAAUAUGACCAUCUCCAACACAAUCCCAAUCACGAGAGCAAAAUUCAGCUGGAAUUAUUCCGAAAAAUUGAUUGGCAACAAAUAUCUGCUCUUAUUCUCACUUCAGUGACUGCUUCGCCAAUCGCCAGCUGAUUCUUCCAGUAUCAAGAAAUACAAAGGUGGUGAGGCCAUUAAUUUACACAGAUUGUAUCGAGACCCAUAAAAGGAUAAGAAAAUCUCAGGUACAGUAGACGAAACAACUGAAUUUUCACGCAUAAGUAGCUUGAUUCUCACUUUGUAAGUGCUUCUUUUUCAUUUUUUGCAAUGCUUGCAUGUGAAUAAUUUUAUAAAGUUGAUUUCUCGAAUUUUCAUUUCGUUAUGCGAUGAAGCUUCAACUUAAUUGGGACAAAGAAGUGCCCAUGAUUGAAAAAUUCUCUUGAAUUUGGUUAGAUAAGAAGUGAUUUUUGUAUCUGUAAAUUAAAUGAACCAAUUGGUUUUUAAAUUUCGGUGGUGCUCAAAUUUUAAUUUUGUUUGGGGGGAUCUUAAUGGGCUACCGUUUAAUUGUUUGUUCGUAUAAACAGAAAUGAAUAAUUUCUUACACUCGUUGGAAAUGCUAUAUUUGCUUGAUUGUAAAUGUGUUUAUGACUGUAAUUUGAGUAUUUUUGGACACGCCACUUUGAAUUGCUCUGUUGUGCCCAGAAACUUUAUUUUUUUAUUUUUCUUUUUGUGAAGGCGAUUUUAGGCAUCGAAUCAAGGCCAAUUUGAACUUGUUCUCUUGAAAAUCUUAUCCGUUGCUCUUGAUCCUAUUUAUUUACUAUACCUGAGUGAUCCUAAAUGGAGAAUUGGCAUGUUUUCAUUAACAGAUCAUUUCAUGUGUGUUUAGAUUUGGCAAGUAAAUGUUGAAGCAAGAUUAAAGGGUUGAUUGCUUACAUGAGCUUUGAGAUAUCUUAGGUUAUGAUUGGGUUGUCUGUACAUCUAACUUCGAGAACAAUGAAUAUGCGAAGAAGUAUUGAGCCAAUCACGCUUUUUCCAAAUUUGGUUAUUCUUUAAUUGUUUUUUAUUGUUUAGCCUUUGAAGUGAUUGAACAAGUCUUCAAAUGAAGAAAUUUUUUGUCUUCUUGUCAUUCACGGAUAUUUCAUGAAUGUUUAGAUUUGACAAGUAAAUGUUAUGCAUUAAGAUUUCAGGGUCGAUUUAUAACAUAAGCUUAAAGAUAUCAUUAGUUUAUGAUUGGCUGGUUGUAAGUCUGGCUUUGAAGACUCUGAGCAUGGGAAGUAGUGAGCCAAUCCUGCUUUUCGCAAUACUAACCGUUCUUUAAUUGCUGCUUGUCGUUUACCUUCUGGGGUGAAUGAAUGAGUCAUUAAAUGCUCUCAUUAUUUGUCGAGAAAAAAUGAACAUUGCUCCUUUAGUUCGUGGAGGUUGCCUAUUGAACAAAUAGUUAGCAGUUUCAAUUGUCCCGUAAGUUAGUUCAUAAGAAUUACAUCCUCUAUGAUUCUCGAAGAGUCGCACAAAAAAAUAUAAAAAGAUCGCAGUUUAUUUUAGUUUGAAACUGAGACAGUUGU